AAUCUCACCUGAAAGCAAGAGUGCUGAGCGUUUUGGGAUAGACUGCUGUAAACCCUAGGAUGAUGGGUUAGAUCUAGUGUAGUGCUAGUGUAGAUCCCGAGACAAGCUGGUGACUUUCAUCUGACAGAAAGUGUGCAAAAUGUUUGAGGGAACAAAAGCAGCCAACUCAAGAAUUGAUGGGUUGGGCUGGUUUUCAUUCUCAAAAGAAGAGCAUACAGUAACCUACCAGAAAAAAG